GAGGGUAUAGCUUAAGUGGUAGAGCACAUGCUUAGCAUGCAAAAGGUCCUGGGUUCAAUCCCCAGUACCUCCU
rnacentral:tRNA from 1 species